GGCUCUGAAGGAAGUGGCACAUUUGUUCCGGCUGUGUAUUUUCAAAUUCUAGCGAUCUUGAGCUGGUUUCUCCAAAAUUACCUACCCCACCUUUAAUAUCACAUUUUCUGAACUUUCUUUAAAAAUACGUUUUGGAAAACUUAAUAAAAAUGCUUUUGUCAACGCCACGGCCUCAAACGAGAAUACCGAGGUGUGAGACUUCCUGGUCCUCUUUGCAGCGGUUCUUCAGUUGGACACGUGUUUGCGUUGGAUCCUCUUCAAAUCAUCAUAAAACAAAAAACAGUCCCACCUCCUCUUGAAGACAUGUUGCCUCCUGCUAUGGACUUCAGGUUCACAUCAGGGAACAGCAGAGGUCGAAGUGCAACAGGCUCGUGAUGCACGGCAUGAAGCUAUACGCUGCCCACGAGCCAGAUGCAGUUGGAAUAACCAUCAAGUAAUAACCAUGUGUCUCCAUGUAUGUUAAUGUGUUGUGCUUUUAAACAAACUUGUUACAGUUUUAUGAAAACUGUUUUGAAAUAAUCACAUUUUAAUAAAAUGUAUUAACAUGUC